rnacentral:misc_RNA from 1 species
CCAACUGGUGGGGUGCGAGCCGUGAGGGGUUCCCGUCUGUAGUGGACGGGGGCCGGGUGCGCAACAGCAAAUGAUUGCCAGACACACUAUUGGGCCCUGAGACAACACUCGGUCCGUCCGUGUGGAGUCCCUCCAUCUUGGUGGUGGGGUGUGGUGUUUGAGUAUUGGAUAGUGGUUGCGAGCAUCUAGAUGAGCGCAUGGUCUUGGUGGCCGGCGUUCAUCGAAAUGUGUAAUUUCUUUUUUAACUCUUGUGUGUAAGUAAGUGUCUAAG